AGUCCUAUGAGUCAGCCAUAUACAGCAUGGAACAGGGCUCCACAAGGACAUGAAUACCAGGUGGCAGGGAUCACUGGGCCAUCUCUCUAAAUCACGAAUGAAACAUUUGCAACCUGUGUCUCCCAAACAUGAUAUGUCUCAAUCAUCAAAGGAUCUACAGUGACUACAAUAACCAAGUGCUACAAAAACGCUGUGACGAGGAAUCUGAACAACAGAGAUUUGAGGGAAACAAAACACUUUCGACGAAGGUCCUGCUGCUUGUCUUCAGCUUGGUACCAAUUAGAGCUUCACUGGAGGUGAAAAUUUCAGAUAUUGCAAGAAAAGAAGCAAAAAAAAAAAAAAAAGCACAGUGUGAAAAAUAGUGAUGUGAACCUGACAGUCACUAUAGGACUGUUCUCAAAGUUAAUAUAAUUGAAUUAAUUCUGACAUGCCACAUUUAUAUAUACUGAGGCUUUUUGUUUUUAAAAGAAAAUAAAAAUGUGAUAUUAUUCUUCUCAACAUAAUAAA
rnacentral:lncRNA from 1 species